rnacentral:RNase_MRP_RNA from 1 species
CCCUCGUCCAACAAAUCGCCAUCGAAGCUCGCAAACAGAGACGUCUUUUUCAAAGGCGUCUCGGUCCUUUGGGCCACGCAAUGCUUUGGGAGAAAGUCCCCGGACACACGUUAUUCCCCCUUCUGGGGUGGAACAAAAACGCCGCGGAAACGCGCCGCCAUAGAAGCACAGCGGCUGACCUCCAAGACCUGCGCCCGGACGCAAUGGCCUCUCUCGCCGCCCCGCCCCGUCGCUACAUCGUCGGUAUUCUACCCUCUCGAGACCCUAGUUUGCUUGUCCUGGGACCACUUGGAUGAAGAUAUGAGUCCGCGCCUAGGAUCGGCAGACUUGAUGUCCUUGGGUACGGCAGGUGCCUUUGAUGACGGGGUGGCCGCGUGCUGGAGGUCGCUUGUCGGGCGAGUUCAAGGGUUCGUCGGAGGAGUCUUUCGUCGAGAUCGAUAGGUAUGCGAUUGCCCGUCCUCCCCCUUCAUUGGGGUGGGCGUGUUACUCGAUGGGGCUUAUUCUUGGUGCGAGG